AAGGAGAAGAUAGAGGUGAAGCAGGUAUAUAAGGAGAAGAUGGAGGUGAAGCAGGUAUAUAAGGAGAAGAUGGAGGUGAAGCAGGUAUAUAAGGAGAAGAUGGAGGUGAAGCAGGUAUAUAAGGAGAAGAUAGAGGUGAAGCAGGUAUAUAAGGAGAAGAUGGAGGUGAAGCAGGUAUAUAAGGAGAAGAUGGAGGUGAAGCAGGUAUAUAAGUGGAAAAUGGAGGUGAAGCAGGUAUAUAAGUGGAAGAUGGAGGUGAAGCAGGUACAUAAGGAGAGGAUGAGGUGAAGCAGGUAUAUAAGGAGAAGAUGGAGGUGAAGCAGGUAUAUAAGGAGAAGAUGGAGGUGAAGCAGGUACAUAAGGAGAAGAUGGAGGUGAAGCAGGUAUAUAGGUGGAAGAUGGAGGUGAAACAGGUAUAUAAAUGGAAGAUGGAGGUGAAGCAGGUAUGUAAGGAGAAGAUGGAGGUGAAGCAGGUAUAUAAGUAGAGGAUGGAGGGGAAGCAGGUAUAUAAGGAGAAGAUGGAGGUGAAGCAAGUACAUAAGGAGAAGAUGGAGGUGAAGCAAGUACAUAAGUGGAAGAUGGAGGGGAAGCAGGUAUAUAAGGAGAAGAUGGAGGUGAAGAUGGAGGCGAAGCAGGUAUAUAAGUGGAAGAUGGAGGUGAAGCAGGUAUAUAAGUGGAAGAUGGAGGUGAAGCAGGUAUAUAAGUGGAAGAUGGAGGUGAAGCAGGUAUAUAAGUGGAAGAUGGAGGUGAAGCAGGUAUAUAAGUGGAAGAUGGAGGUGAAGCAGGUAUAUAAGUGGAAGAUGGAGGUAAAGCAGGUAUAUAAGGAGAAGAUGGAGGUGAAGCAGGUAUAUAAGGAGAAGAUGGAGGUGAAGCAGGUAUAUAAGGAGAAGAUGGAGACGAAGCAGGUAUAUAAGUGGAAGAUGGAGGUGAAGCAGGUAUAAAAGUGGAAGAUGGAGGUGAAGCAGGUAUAUAAGGAGAAUAUGGAGGCGAAGCAGGUAUAUAAGUGGAAGAUGGAGGUGAAGCAGGUAUAUAAGGAGAAGAUGGAGGUGAAACAGGUAUAUAAGGAGAAGAUGGAGGUGAAGCAGGUAUAUAAGGAGAAGAUGGAGACGAAGCAGGUAUAUAAGUGGAAGAUGGAGGUGAAGCAGGUAUAAAAGUGGAAGAUGGAGGUGAAACAGGUAUAAAAGGAGAAGAUGGAGGGGAAGCAGGUAUAAAAGUGGAAGAUGGAGGUGAAACAGGUAUAUAAGGAGAAGAUGGAGGUGAAACAGGUAUAUAAGGAGAAGAUGGAGGUGAAGCAGGUAUAUAAGGAGAAGAUGGAGACGAAGCAGGUAUAUAAGUGGAAGAUGGAGGUGAAGCAGGUAUAAAAGUGGAAGAUGGAGGUGAAGCAGGUAUAUAAGGAGAAGAUGGAGGUGAAGCAGGUAUAUAAGGAGAAGAUGGAGACGAAGCAGGUAUAUAAGUGGAAGAUGGAGGUGAAGCAGGUAUAAAAGUGGAAGAUGGAGGUGAAGCAGGUAUAUAAGGAGAAGAUGGAGGUGAAGCAGGUAUAUAAGGAGAAGAUGGAGGGGAAGCAGGUAUAAAAGUGGAAGAUGGAGGUGAAACAGGUAUAUAAGGAGAAGAUGGAGGUGAAGCAGGUAUAUAAGGAGAAGAUGGAGGUGAAGCAGGUAUAUAAGGAGAAGAUGGAGACGAAGCAGGUAUAUAAGUGGAAGAUGGAGGUGAAGCAGGUAUAAAAGUGGAAGAUGGAGGUGAAGCAGGUAUAUAAGGAGAAGAUGGAGGUGAAGCAGGUAUAUAAGGAGAAGAUGGAGGUGAAGCAGGUGUAUAAGGAGAAGAUGGAGGUGAAGCAGGUAUAUAAGUGGAAGAUGGAGGUGAAGCAGGUAUAUAAGUGGAAGAUGGAGGUGAAGCAGGUAUAUAAGUGGAAGAUGGAGGUGAAGCAGCUAUAUAAGGAGAAGAUGUAGGUGAAAAAGGUAUAUAAAUGGAAGAUGGAGGUGAAGCAGGUAUAGAAGGAGAAGAUGGAGGUGAAAAAGGUAUAUAAGUGGAACAUGGAGGUGAAGCAGGUAUAUAAGUGGAAGAUGGAGGUGAAGCAGGUUGAUAAGUGGAAGAUGGAGGUGAAGCAGGUAUAUAAGUGGAAGAUGGAGGUGAAGCAGGUAUAUAAGGAGAAGAUGGAGGUGAAGCAGGUAUAUAAGUGGAAGAUGGAGGUGAAGCAGGUAUAUAAGUGGAAGAUGGAGGUGAAGCAGGUAUAUAAAGAAAUGAUGGAGGUGAAGCAGGUAUAUAAGGAGAAGAUGGAGGUGAAGCAGGUAUAUAAGUGGAUGAUGGAGGUGAAGCAGGUAUAUAAGGAGAAGAUGGAGCUGAAGCACGUAUAUAAGUGGAAGAUGGAGGUGAAGCAGGUAUAUAAGUGGAAGAUGGAGGUGAAGCAGGUAUAUAAGUGGAAGAUGGAGGUGAAGCAGGUAUAUAAGUGGAAGAUGGAGGUGAAGCAGGUAUAUAAGUGGAAGAUGGAGGUGAAGCAGGUAUAUAAGGAGAUGAUGGAGGUGAAGCAGGUAUAUAAGUGGAAGAUGGAGGUGAAGCAGGUAUAUAAGUGGAAGAUGGAGGUGAAGCAGGUAUAUAAAGAAAUGAUGGAGGUGAAGCAGGUAUAUAAGGAGAAGAUGGAGGUGAAGCAGGUAUAUAAGUGGAAGAUGGAGGUGAAGCAGGUAUAUAAGGAGAAGAUGGAGCUGAAGCACGUAUAUAAGUGGAAGAUGGAGGUGAAGCAGGUAUAUAAGUGGAAGAUGGAGGUGAAGCAGGUAUAUAAGUGGAAGAUGGAGGUGAAGCAGGUAUAAAAGUGGAAGAUGGAGGUGAAGCAGGUAUAUAAGGAGAAGAUGGAGGUGAAGCAGGUAUAUAAGGAGAAGAUGGAGACGAAGCAGGUAUAUAAGUGGAAGAUGGAGGUGAAGCAGGUAUAAAAGUGGAAGAUGGAGGUGAAGCAGGUAUAUAAGGAGAAGAUGGAGGUGAAGCAGGUAUAUAAGGAGAAGAUGGAGGGGAAGCAGGUAUAAAAGUGGAAGAUGGAGGUGAAACAGGUAUAUAAGGAGAAGAUGGAGGUGAAGCAGGUAUAUAAGGAGAAGAUGGAGGUGAAGCAGGUAUAUAAGGAGAAGAUGGAGACGAAGCAGGUAUAUAAGUGGAAGAUGGAGGUGAAGCAGGUAUAAAAGUGGAAGAUGGAGGUGAAGCAGGUAUAUAAGGAGAAGAUGGAGGUGAAGCAGGUAUAUAAGGAGAAGAUGGAGGUGAAGCAGGUGUAUAAGGAGAAGAUGGAGGUGAAGCAGGUAUAUAAGUGGAAGAUGGAGGUGAAGCAGGUAUAUAAGUGGAAGAUGGAGGUGAAGCAGGUAUAUAAGUGGAAGAUGGAGGUGAAGCAGCUAUAUAAGGAGAAGAUGUAGGUGAAAAAGGUAUAUAAAUGGAAGAUGGAGGUGAAGCAGGUAUAGAAGGAGAAGAUGGAGGUGAAAAAGGUAUAUAAGUGGAACAUGGAGGUGAAGCAGGUAUAUAAGUGGAAGAUGGAGGUGAAGCAGGUUGAUAAGUGGAAGAUGGAGGUGAAGCAGGUAUAUAAGUGGAAGAUGGAGGUGAAGCAGGUAUAUAAGGAGAAGAUGGAGGUGAAGCAGGUAUAUAAGUGGAAGAUGGAGGUGAAGCAGGUAUAUAAGUGGAAGAUGGAGGUGAAGCAGGUAUAUAAAGAAAUGAUGGAGGUGAAGCAGGUAUAUAAGGAGAAGAUGGAGGUGAAGCAGGUAUAUAAGUGGAUGAUGGAGGUGAAGCAGGUAUAUAAGGAGAAGAUGGAGCUGAAGCACGUAUAUAAGUGGAAGAUGGAGGUGAAGCAGGUAUAUAAGUGGAAGAUGGAGGUGAAGCAGGUAUAUAAGUGGAAGAUGGAGGUGAAGCAGGUAUAUAAGUGGAAGAUGGAGGUGAAGCAGGUAUAUAAGUGGAAGAUGGAGGUGAAGCAGGUAUAUAAGGAGAUGAUGGAGGUGAAGCAGGUAUAUAAGUGGAAGAUGGAGGUGAAGCAGGUAUAUAAGUGGAAGAUGGAGGUGAAGCAGGUAUAUAAAGAAAUGAUGGAGGUGAAGCAGGUAUAUAAGGAGAAGAUGGAGGUGAAGCAGGUAUAUAAGUGGAAGAUGGAGGUGAAGCAGGUAUAUAAGGAGAAGAUGGAGCUGAAGCACGUAUAUAAGUGGAAGAUGGAGGUGAAGCAGGUAUAUAAGUGGAAGAUGGAGGUGAAGCAGGUAUAUAAGUGGAAGAUGGAGGUGAAACAGGUAUAUAAGUGGAAGAUGGAGGUGAAGCAGGUAUAUAAGUGGAAGAUGGAGGUGAAGCAGGUAUAUAAGGAGAUGAUGGAGGUGAAGCAGGUAUAUAAGUGGAAGAUGGAGGUGAAGCAAGUAUAUAAGUGGAAGAUGGAGGUGAAGCAGGUAUAUAAGUGGAAGAUGGAGGUGAAGCAGGUAUAUAAGGAGAUGAUGGAGGUGAAUCAGUUAUAUAAGAAGAAGAUGGAGGCGAAGCAGGUAUAUAAGGAGAAGAUGGAGGUGAAGCAGAUAUAUAAGUGGAAGAUGGAGGUGAAGCAGAUAUAUAAGUGGAAGAUGGAGGGGAAGCAGGUAUAUAAGGAGAAGAUGGAGGUGAAGCAGGUAUCUAAGGAGAAGAUGGAGGUGAAGCAGGUAUAUAAGUGGAAGAUUGAGGUGAAGUAGGUAUAUAAGGAGAAGAUGGAGGUGAAGCAGGUUUAUAAGUGGAAGAUGGAGGUGAAGCAGAUAUAUAAGUGGAAGAUGGAGGGGAAGCAGGUAUAUAAGGAGAAGAUGGAGGUGAAGCAGGUAUCUAAGGAGAAGAUGGAGGUGAAGCAGGUAUAUAAGGAGAUGAUGGAGGUGAAGCAGGUAUAUAAGGAGAAGAUGGAGGUGAAGCAGGUAUAUAAGGAGAAGAUGGAGGGGAAGCAGGUAUAUAAGGAGAAGAUGGAGGUGAAGCAGGUAUCUAAGGAGAAGAUGGAGGUGAAGCAGGUAUAUAAGGAGAAGAUGGAGGUGAAGCAGGUAUAUAAGUGGAAGAUUGAGGUGAAGCAGGUAUAUAAGGAGAAGAUGGAGGUGAAGCAGAUAUAUAAACGGAAGAUGGAGGACAAGUCCCUGAGGGCAGUGAUGGAGAGGAACAUGGAACAUCAUUGUGAGUGGUCUGUCUUCCAUCUUGAAGACCAUGCUUAACUUUGUAAACAAGACCAUGGCCGGCGUUGGACUGCAGGUGUCGGACUUGGACCAGCAGGUGUGGGACUUGGACCAGCAGGUACACAGCUGGAAGGUUUCUUCAUUCCUCUUUCGGACUUCAGGCUCACCCCCGACAGUCAUG